UACAGAGGUCCCGAGCGUUUGUUCGGAUUCAUUGGGCGUAAAGGGUGCGUAGGCGGCGAGGCCAAGUCUGAUGUGAAAUCCCGGGGCUCAACCCCGGAACUGCAUUGGAUACUGCCUUGCUUGAGUACUGGAGAGGGAACUGGAAUUUACGGUGUAGCAGUGAAAUGCGUAGAGAUCGUAAGGAAGGCCAGUGGCGAAGGCGAGUUCCUGGACAGUUACUGACGCUGGAGGCACGAAGGCCAGGGGAGCAAACGGG
rnacentral:rRNA from 1 species